rnacentral:lncRNA from 1 species
GGACUGUGUGCUGGCUGCAGGGCCACUAUUGAUUUCAAAACUGUGUGGCUUACCUUCCAAAAGAGGCUGGCUGCCACUGUGUUUAUGAAUCACUUUAUUUUAACAUGAAGAGGAAAUGGAGAUGGAAUUGUUUUGAAAGAUUUUGCUCUACUAGCCCUUUCAUCUCCAUCAACUUUUCAGAUGAUCAGUGCAACCGUAUCGCCAUUGGAAGGAAAUGUUCAUUCUUCUAGAGACUUGUCCGGGUGUGAUUGGUUAGUUAACGUUCUCCAUCAGAGGGGUACUGAUGGGUCACCAAAUGCCUUAGGUGAAACAUGUUUAUGGCUUUUAGGGCUUUCUUGACUGCUGCAGCACUAUUCAAGCUCCAGAGGCAGAAAAAUGGUAUAAAGAUAGUGAGCUGGAGGUUAGUCUCAAGGAAGAGACAAGAUACCAGUCUACUCUGGAUAUACCUUCAGAGCUCCAUCCUGAAUGCUGAUAUCCAAAUACCUCUAAAGGAGUGUUCAACCAAAAGGUUCUACCUGCUUAAAACCUGAAUGGGCUCUUGAUUGUUUCAUGGCCAUAGCAACAACAGAGUGAUGUGAGCCUGAGAGCUGCUUAUUGAACUUUCUUCUGUAAGACAGACAGACCACCGGCUAGUCAUGAUCAUUAAAGGGAAAAUGAUUCCCAGGAGUGAUGCAAUGUGAAAACAUAAAGCAUAAACAUUAUAAGAACUAAAUUGGAACUGAAACUCCCUCUUCAAGUUUCCUGCUGUGUCUCAGUAUGAGAUCAAGUCUGUUAUGGAUACAGGUGGCCUAAUGUCUUAUAAAUCAAUAUUGGUCCUUUUUCAAUUUAUAUUCUUGGAAAGAAGUUAACCCAUUACUGAUCAUUAGAUCAUUUUCCUCUAUUAAUAUGGAGAAAAAUACUUUCAGUUCUUCUGUGAAAUAUUGCAUCUUACCAAUGUGAAAUUCGGCAAUUAUCCAGUAAUAGAGUGUAAAACUGAGACUAAAAAAGGAAUAAUAAAUGUUGGGGGGGGGUCCAGCACUCUUCAAUUGUAUUUCAUUUGAUGUAGAAAAAAAAAUCACCUAUCCAAAGACACAUGUCAAAUUUGAAACCACGGAAGUGAAUGAAUUCAAUUAGAACAAGAAUAUUUAUUUAAAAGAGCAGAGGGCACACAAUUGAGUCUUUUCAAUCUGCUUGCCUCUCUGCUAGCUCCCCAACAUGACACAUACCUUUUAAUGAGAAAUAAGCAUUUGUUGCUUUUGUCACAGAUCAAAGCUCUAAGGUAGAAUAAAACUGAUUUCUUUGCUACUGUGGAGAUAUGAGAGAGGGAAUGAUCCUAUGUCAACAUCAUCUGUGGCUCAUCCAAAAAUAAUAGACUGUCUUCAGUCACUAUUUUUAAGAUAUUCUGCUUACUCAGGUAGACUCCUCAGGAUAUUAGAAUCCUCGGUGCAGUUAGUCGGAUCUAUCUGGUUCAAGUAUUUCUUUGUCUUCACCAAAGCUGAAGCAACUUUUUGACUAAGAAUUUCAUAUAAAUUACAAUGAGGACUUUUUGUAAUGAUAGCAGAAGACAAUUAAUCAUUAAUUCAUUUUAUAAUUAACUUAGGUUUCAUUAAAAUUAGAUAUAGUUACAGUGUAAAUCUCACAUAAAUGUUAGUUCCUGCUCAUUAGAGAAUUAAAUAUUUCGGUAUGACCACAGAACCUAUUUUUGUUCUACCUCUGCCUAAGUUUUUCUCCCUUGUCUGUCUGUUUUGUGUGGUCAGUUGACCAUAUUCUGUGUUUAAAAUACUGAUUCAUCUCUUACAGGUUUUCCUAUCAAUUCAUGUUAGAUAAAUCCACCUCUCUGUUUGCAAACUGUAUACAGUUUUUAAAUUAAAAUAAGAAAUCUCUUGGUUGUCUUU